rnacentral:tRNA from 1 species
AGCCUUGUAGUGUAGACAACACACUAAAAUGCAAGUUUAGAGAAGAGCCAUAAUUGGCUCCGGGGCUU